AAACACAUACCUUCUCAUUCUCAGCUCCGCCUUCGCUCACGACUGCCAGUUUGGCCUCUUCUCUGAUCGACGCGCCUCCGCCUCACCGUCGCCAUCGCUACCCCUUGUCUCAACACCGGAACCCUAGUUGCCGCCAAAUCAGUGAAUCAUUGCCGUUCAUGUCUCCAUCUCUUGUCUCAACGCCGGAACCCUAGCUGCCGCCGAAUUAGUCAAACAUUGUUCAUUUUUAGUACGCAAAGAGGCUCAAUUUAGGUCUGCAUGUGGCCGACCAUCGUCGACGACUCGGGGACUGGGUUCGCUCGGUGAGUCUCUAUAAACUCGAUCGCUAGUGAAUGUUUCUAAUUUUUCUUCCUCAAUGAUGACGGCAUUAUUAGAGUUGUUUGUUGCUAGUGCUUGUUGAUUGUCUUGUUCUUACUCUGUUUAGAUUUCCGGUUGCAAUCUUCUUGGGAGUUUCUAGGUUUUUUUUUUUUUUUUUUUUCCCGGGGGGGGGGGGGGGGGGGGGGGGGGGGAGGGGGGUCUGUUUGAAUUUGUCUUGUUGAGCUGCACAACGAUGGAGUUGCUGGUGUUGUGGUAGAUCAUCAUCCAAAAGAAAACUAGUGCCAGAACUAAGAAGGGCUAGAAUCUCGCCAAUUAUCUCUCUGCUGUGUAAAGUUUCACGUGAUUUUCUUGUAUUAAGGAAAUUGCUUGUCUUGAAUUUUUAGAUUCUUGUAUUAAGGAAAUUGCUUGUAUGAUGCAUUUAGUUGUCUAUGAAAUUCUUUGGGUUCAGGUUAAAAGUUAAGUUGAAGCAGCUAGCUGAGCAGUAUGUGCUUUCUAAACAACAUCAUGAACA
rnacentral:lncRNA from 1 species